rnacentral:rRNA from 1 species
AACAAGGUCUCCUUUGUUGAACCAGCGGAGGGAUCAUU